AGUCCUCCAUUCCUCCUAGGCCAAACUGGUAGUUUUCCCUCAGAUUCCAACAUUACUCAUAGUAGGCCAAACUCGGGUAGUUCUCCCUCAUAUCCCACCAUUCCUCGUAGGCUAAAUUCCUGUGGUUUCUCUCAGAUUCCACCAUUGCUCCUAGGCCAAACUCUGGUUGUUCUCUCUCAGAUUCCACCAUUCCUCCUGGGCCAAACUGGUAGUUUUCCCUCAGAUUCCAACAUUACUCGUAGUAGGCCGAACUCGGGUAGUUCUCCCUCAGAUUCUACCAUUCUUCGUAGGCUAAAUUUCAGUGGUCUCUUUCGGAUUCCACCCUUCCUCCUAGGCCAAACUCUGGUCGUUCUCCCUCAGAUUCCUCCAUUCCUCCUAGGCCAAACUGGUAGUUAUCCCUCAGAUUCCAACAUUACUCGUAGUAGGCCGAACUCGGGUAGUUCUCCCUCAGAUCCCACCAUUCCUCGUAGGCUAAAUUCCGGUGGUUUCUCUCGGAUUCCACCAUUCCUCCUAGGCCAAACUCUGGUCGUUCUCCCUCAGAUUCCACCAUUCCUCCUGGGCCAAACUGGUUGUUCUCCCUCAGAUCGCACUAUUCCUCGUAGGCUAAAUUCCUGUGGUUUCUCUCAGAUUCCACCAUUGCUCCUAGGCCAAACUCCGGUCGUUCACCCUCAGAUUCCACCAUUGCCCCUAGGCCAAGCUCUGGUCGUUCUCCCUCAGAUUCCACCAUUGCUCCUAGGCCAAACUCUGGUCGUUCUCCCUCAGAUUCCACCAUUGCUCCUAGGUCAAACUCUGGUCGUUCUCCCUCAGAUUCCACCAUUCCUCCUAGGCCAAACUCUGGUUGUUCUCCCUCAGAUUCCACCAUUCCUCCUGGGCCAAACUGGUAGUUUUCCCUCAGCUUCCAACAUUCCUUGUAGGCAAAAUUCCGGUGGUUUCUCUCGGAUUCCACCAUUGCUCCUAGGCCAAACUCUGGUCGUUCUCCCUCAGAUUCCACCAUUGCUCCUAGGUCAAACUCUGGUCGUUCUCCCUCAGAUUCCACCAUUCCUCCUAGGCCAAACUCUGGUUGUUCUCCCUCAGAUUCCACCAUUCCUCCUGGGCCAAACUGGUAGUUUUCCCUCAGCUUCCAACAUUCCUUGUAGGCAAAAUUCCGGUGGUUUCUCUCGGAUUCCACCACUGCUCCUAGGCCAAACUCUGGCAGUUCUCCCUCAGAUCCCACCAUUCCUCCCGGGCCAAACUCUGGCAGCUUUCCCUCAGCCUCCCACACUACUCGUCGACCAGACCCUGGGAGUUUUCCCCCACUCCGACAUCACUCUUGGGCCACCCCCGGUGGCCCAGGGGGCUGGAGAGGGCCAAGCCCGGAGGGUCCGACGGUCUUCCCCGUCGGUCACCAUGCGGCAUUGCUGAGGGAGAAGGAGACCCGCCGGUCCCUCGAGGUUUGAAGGCGACAUUUGUGAAGGACUGGCGGGGCAGCGAGGGGGUCGGGGCGGGUGAGCCGCCUAAUCCCCCGAUUAGACUGUAAGCCCGUCAAAGGGCAGGGACUGUCUAUCUGUUGCCUAUUUGUCCAUUCCAAGCGCUUAGUACAGUGCUCUGCACAUAGUAAGCGCUCAAUAAAUACUAGUGAAUGAAUGAAUGAAUGAAUGAGCAUGAGGUCGCCCCCCCCCUCCGCGGGCUCAGAGCGCGGGAGCCAAUGGCUGAGCGGCCACGCCCCCUCUGA
rnacentral:lncRNA from 1 species